UAACUCUCGUGGCAGGAAGAGGACCAUGAUCAAGAAGGUGGUCUCCCCAGGGCGAGGCUCAACCUGUUGCAUUUUGGGUAUGCUGGCCCCUGAGGUUCCCCAAAUGUGGGAAACUCAGUUGUAUAAUUUGUGGUAGUGAGGAGUUGUGUCCAUGCUCUUCCCUG